AUACGGGGGGUGCAAGCGUUAAUCGGAAUUACUGGGCGUAAAGCGCGCGUAGGCGGUUUGCUCAGUCAGAUGUGAAAGCCCAGGGCUCAACCUUGGAACUGCAUACGAUACUGGCAAACUAGAGUGUGAGAGAGGAUAGUGGAAUUUCCGGUGUAGCGGUGAAAUGCGUAGAUAUCGGAAGGAACAUCAGUGGCGAAGGCGACUGUCUGGCUCAACACUGACGCUGAGGUGCGAAAGCGUGGGUAGCAAACAGGAUUAGAUACCCUUGUAGUCC
rnacentral:rRNA from 1 species